GACGAACGCUGGCGGCGUGCUUAACACAUGCAAGUCGAGCGGAGCGGCGGACGGGUGAGUAAUGCCUAGGAAUCUGCCUGGUAGUGGGGGAUAACGUCCGGAAACGGGCGCUAAUACCGCAUACUAUCAGAUGAGCCUAGGUCGGAUUAGCUAGUUGGUGGGGUAAAGGCCUACCAAGGCGACGAUCCGUAACUGGUCUGAGAGGAUGAUCAGUCACACGGGAACUGAGACAGGGUCCAGACCCCUCCGGAAGGAAGCGGUGGGGAAUAUUGGACAAUGGGCGAAAGCCUGAGCCAGCCAUGCCGGGUGUGUGAAGAAGGUCUUCGGAUUGUAAAGCACUUUAAGUUGGGAGGCGUUACCAACAGAAUAAGCACCGGCUAACUUCGUGCCAGCAGCCGCGGUAAUUC
rnacentral:rRNA from 1 species